rnacentral:rRNA from 1 species
CCUACGGGAGGCAGCAGUGAGGAAUAUUGGUCAAUGGGCGAGAUCCUGAACCAGCCAAGCCGCGUGAGGGAAGACGGUCCUGUGGGUUGUAAACCUCUUUUGUCGGGGAACAAAACCCGGGACGUGUCCCCGACUGCGUGUAUCCGAAGAAAAAGCAUCGGCUAACUCCGUGCCAGCAGCCGCGGUAAUACGGAGGAUGCGGGCGUUAUCCGGUUUUAUUGGGUUUAAGGGGUGCGUAGGCGGUCCGUUAAGUCAGCGGUAAAAUUGCGGGGCUAAACCCCGCCGAGCCGUGGAAACUGGCAGACUUGAGUGGGCGGGAAGUAGGCGGAAUGCGCGGUGUAGCGGUGAAAUGCAUAGAUAUCGCGAAGAACUCCGAUUGCGAAGGCAGCAUACCGGAGGCGUUCUGACGCUGAGGCACGAAAGCGUGGGUAUCGAACAGGAUUAGAUACCCUAGUAGUC